CAUUUCUUCAUGGAAAUACAAUCAGACCGAGACGCUAAGACAGAAGAACUACCGCGUCUGUAAAAUGAUUAAUAUGAUGAUUAUUACUUCAAGGAAAUGAUAAAGAAAUGAUCAUAAAUGUUCUUCCUUGAGCUGCGGCACCCCGCUGUAGUCCACUGUUGCUUUACUAAAGUUGGUAUAACUAGAGAAGCAAGCGGUCGACAACAUUCAUCUCUGGAGGGGGGUCUAACUCGGUGUUACGGUGGGUUUGACCCUUAAUUUUACGGCAGAAUAUCCCUUUAACGUCCUCCUGUAAUGACACUGUAAACCCCUCUAACCACUCCCAUCGUUGUUUCACAUGAACAGGUCCAGAAAAGAACAGACUGUCUGAAGGAUCGAUAUUCAGACCCCAACAAGGUGAGUUCAGAGGGUUUGGAGGACAGCUCGACUCUUCAGCCUGAGAAAAAAGAGGAAGGACCCUGUGGGGGUUUUCUGCUCUCUGGACAUGUGGUGGACUUUCCCACAGAGGGAUGAUGAAGCCCGG